GACGUAGGGCGCGAGCGUUGUCCGGAUUUAUUGGGCGUAAAGAGCUCGUAGGCGGCUUGUCGCGUCGUUCGUGAAAACUUGGGGCUCAACCCCAAGCUUGCGGUCGAUACGGGCAGGCUAGAGUUCGGUAGGGGAGACUGGAAUUCCUGGUGUAGCGGUGAAAUGCGCAGAUAUCAGGAGGAACACCGGUGGCGAAGGCGGCUUGCUGGGCGUGAUCUGACGCUGAGGCGCGAAAGCGUGGGGAGCGAACAGG
rnacentral:rRNA from 1 species